GAAUGCAACUUUACACGGAUGGAGCAAAGAUGCAGCAGGAAUCUCAUCCUUAUGAAAGGAAUAGAAUACUUCGUUUGGCGCAGCUUCCAAUAGGAUGCCUUUGCCAAGCUUUACUUCAGCAGGUCGAUAGAGCCAAUUAACACACAACUUGUUGUUCUCUUUACCAGUAGUCAGCCACCGAAUUAUUCCAAUGAAAGGUGGGGAAUCCCGGGGGGGUUUGAAAAGAGCACAAUCUCCAAUGCUGAUCUUGCGUCCGUCCUGUUAGAUAAAAGAAAACAGAGAACUUCAGUGAAAUGUUAUACACUUUAUCUGAAAAAAGACAGCUAAAUAAAAUUGCAUUUCUGAAUCAGUGAAUUUGGUCUUGCUGCCCAGGAAACAGCCUGGUUAGAACCAGACUUUGCAUCCAUUUCAGCCUCAACACGCUUCUUCCAUGUGUCGACCAGACUUCUAGCUUUCUUCUGAAUUUCCAAGUUCUUAUGUGUGCGCAGAUGGUUCACUGACUUGCCAAUGUUACACAUUUGUAAGGCGUGAAGAUUUACAGGGAGUUUAUCAAGUGCACGGAGUAAAACUAAAAGAAAUUCCUCUAUAGAUUUUUCACUAUCCUUGGAACCACUGCCAUCCCCAAUCUUCCCUUUAUGCACCUCCUGCAGCCAUUCGUCAAAUACAGGCAAGCCCCUAAGCUGCACAAAUCUAUUAAGGCAAUCAAACUUAUCUGUGCCCGCGACCACACCGGCCAGUACAGACCGACCAGCCAAGUCUAUCUUCUUUUCAUUUUUCUCAGGCAGCAUGAGCUGCACUAAUUUUUCAACACCUUCAGAAUCUACAAGCCCUCCCUUUUCUGUAAAUUUAGCAAUCUCAGACUUCCAAACGCUUUCAGGCCUAGAGUGUCCAGAACCCCCAUCAUCAAUUUUUGAAUAACGCUCUCGUUUAACAGGCUCAGAGCCUUGAUCUCCUCGCUCCCUUUUCUUUCCCUUAACUUGAGAAGGAAAGGAUGAGGCACCAUUGUGUACAUUAUCUGACCCAGGUUUUAGCUGUGAUGUUGAUGUGGGACCAUUCACUGGCUUUGGAGAACGUCCCCCUGGUUGCACAGUUGCAUGCAUUUCUAUGCUUGUCUUAUAUAAUAGCUGAUCUACUUCUUCUUGCCGUUCCUGUGAAAAAGAAAAGAAAUAUCAACUACCACUAAGGAUGGGUAAAACCAUAAGAAGUGUGCCAAAUAGAUAGAUUAACAUGCAAAAAGUGCAAGCAAAACAUACAUUAAUAUAAUCUUGGUCAGUUAGCCACCAUAAACACUUGUUUGUAAUGUCGUAAACUCGCCGGCACACAAAAGAGCAAAUUCCUGAUGGAAGUUCAACACCUUUUGCAAGGAAUGCAACUUUACACGGAUGGAGCAAAGAUGCAGCAGGAAUCUCAUCCUUAUGAAAGGAAUAGAAUACUUCGUUUGGCGCAGCUUCCAAUAGGAUGCCUUUGCCAAGCUUUACUUCAGCAGGUCGAUAGAGCCAAUUAACACACAACUUGUUGUUCUCUUUACCAGUAGUCAGCCACCGAAUUAUUCCAAUGAAAGGUGGGGAAUCCCGGGGGGGUUUGAAAAGAGCACAAUCUCCAAUGCUGAUCUUGCGUCCGUCCU
rnacentral:lncRNA from 1 species